UUGCUAGUCGAGAGCAGACACAACAA
rnacentral:piRNA from 1 species